UUCGGUCGCACAAUAUUUACU
rnacentral:siRNA from 1 species